rnacentral:rRNA from 1 species
CCUACGGGUGGCAGCAGUAGGGAAUUUUGCACAAUGGGCGCAAGCCUGACGCAGCAACGCCGCGUGAGUGAAUAAGCCCUUCGGGGUGUAAAGCUCUGUCAGUGGGGAAGAAACUCGACGGUACCCACUGCGGAAGCACCGUCUAAAUCCGUGCAAGCAGCCGCGGUAAAAUGGAGGGUGCAAGCGUUGUCCGGAAUCAUUGGGCGUAAAGAGUUCGUAGGUGGCGUAAUAAGUCUGGAGUGAAAGGCAGGAGCGCAACUGUUGUACGGGACUGGAUAUUGGUAGGCUUGAGUGCGGGAGAGGUAAGUGGAAUUCCUGGUGUAGCGGUGAAAUGCGUAGAUAUCAGGAGGAACAUCAGUGGCGAAGGCGGUUUACUGGGCCGUAAUUGACGCUGAGGAACGAAAGCCUGGGGAGCAAACAGGAUUAGAUAACCCUGUAGUC